rnacentral:rRNA from 1 species
GGUCCGGCUGGACCUUUCCUUCUGGGGAACCUCAUGGCCUUCACUGGCUGUGGGGGGAACCAGGACUUUUACUGUGAAAAAAUUAUAGUGUUCAAAGCAGGCCUUUGCUCGAAUACAUUAGCAUGGAAUAAUAGAAUAGGACGUGCGGUUCUAUUUUGUUGGUUUCUAGGACCGCCGUAAUGAUUAAUAGGGAUAGUCGGGGGCGUCAGUAUUCAGCUGUCAGAGGUGAAAUUCUUGGAUUUGCUGAAGACUAACUACUGCGAAAGCAUUCGCCAAGGAUGUUUUCAUUAAUCAGGGAACGAAAGUUAGGGGAUCGAAGACGAUCAGAUACCGUCGUAGUCUUAACCAUAAACUAUGCCGACUAGGGAUCGGGCGGUGUUUCUAUGAUGACCCGCUCGGCACCUUACGAGAAAUCAAAGUUUUUGGGUUCUGGGGGGAGUAUGGUCG